rnacentral:lncRNA from 1 species
CAGAAAAUGGGAUGGGAUUACAGCACAGACUGACCUCCUUUCAGUGCUAUCUAGGUGAAAGUGGGCCUGCAUCAGCCUCCGUGAAUUGUUUCCAGUUGCAGGGCAGAAUGACUGACAAAGUGGAUUCGAAUAAUGAGCGGUGCACAUUUGGUCUCCAUCUAGCUACUUUACUGAGGAGACCCCAAAGUUAUAAAUAUUACACAGUCGGGGCCUAAAAGAGAGAAAAAUUUCUGGCGAGAUAAGAAACGCUUCAGAGAUAGCACAAGCAAUAAACAAGAUGGAAUAUGAGAAGCAGCGAAGCCUAACGGAAAGGACACAGUCCUGGGAGUGAGAGGACCUGGGUUGUAAUCAUGGAUUUACCACUUGCCGGUUGUAGGACCUCAGACAAGCCACUCAAUGUCUCUAUGACUCAGUUCUCUAAUCUGUAAAAUGGAGAUUCCAUACCUGUCCUCCCUCCCCCAUAGACUGUGAGUCCCAGGUGGGAAGGGACCAUGUCCAACUUGAUUAUCUUGUAUUUACCCCAACACCUACUGCCUUGCCUGGCAUAGCAAGCACUAAACAAGUACAAUAAAAAAAAACAAAACUACAUCCACCAACUGCAAUAAAGGAGCAAAGAAGAACGGAGAUGACGAAGCCUCAAGGUGAGAAGACAGUGGCCCACAGCUCUCGAUGUUGGAGAGCCAGUCCAUCUCCCCUGCCUCACUCUAGUGUACGGCAGGGGGAAGGUAUCCCUCCAGGAAGAAAGAGACUUAGGGUGAUAUGGGUAAAACACUUAUCUGACUUGGGGGGGAAAAAAGCUAGGCAAGGUUGAACUGGGCCAAUGACUUAUACAGGAUUCUAGUUUUCUCUUCUCUGUUUUACACUAUUUUUUUCCAUUACUAAGUGCACUAUCUUGCUAUUUUCCCUUCUGAAUUUCAUCCAGCUAUUUCUCUGGCCUGGAACGUCCUCCCUUUUCCUAGCCUACAGAACUUUCCCCACCUUCAAAGCCUUAAUAAAACCAUAUCUCCUCCAAGAUGCCUUUGCUGAUUAAGACUUCUCUCUUCUGUGUGCCCCAUGGACCUGGAUUUAUACAUUUGAUUAACUCCACCCUCAGCUCUAUUGCACUUUAUGCAUAUCUAUAAUUUACAGUAAUGUCUGUCUUCCCUUCUAGACUGUAAGCUCCUCGUGGGCAGAGAACAUGUCUUUCCAACUUUGCUAUAUUGUACUCCUUCCGAGUGCUUAUUAUAGUGCUCUGGAAACAAUAAACACUAAAUAAAUAUGAUUGAUGAUAUGGUUUCUCAAAUUUGUCCAAGUC